rnacentral:rRNA from 1 species
AUGAGGCUGGAGAGGGUGGUGUUCGCGCUGAACGGGCGGCGGUAUGAGGUGGCCGCCGGCGACGUCCACCCCGGGACCACGCUGCUCGAGUUCAUCCGCACCCGGACGCCCUUCACCGGCACCAAGCUCGGCUGCGGCGAAGGUGGAUGUGGAGCUUGUGUAGUCCUUAUAGCAACCUAUGAUCCAACAAAAGACGCCGUAACUGAAUUCUCUGCCAGUUCAUGCCUGACCCUGCUCUACAACAUAAAUCUCUGCUCAGUCAUCACCACCGAAGGCCUGGGAAAUACACAAGAUGGCUUCCAUUCUAUUCAGAAAAGAAUGUCCGGGUUCCAUGCUUCUCAGUGCGGCUUCUGCACUCCCGGCAUGUGCAUGUCUAUUUUCACUUCUCUUGCCAAUGCUGACAAAUCCAAGAGGCCCGAACCACGAAAGGGCUUCUCAAAGUUGACGGUAUCUGAAGCAGAAAGGGCUUUCUCAGGCAACAUGUGUAGAUGUACCGGCUACCGACCGAUUGUCGAUGCGUGCAAAAGUUUUGCUUCAGAUGUUGACCUGGAGGAUUUGGGCCUCAAUAUAUUCUGGAAGAAAGGUGAUAAGGGCUCUGACGUUAGCAAGUUGCCAGCUUACACUCUUGGCGGUGGAGUCUGCACUUUCCCAGACUUCCUGAAAUCCGAGAUAAAAUCUUCGCUCCUUCAUCUAACUGAUGUUUCGGAUGUCACGGUCUCCGGGGUGGAUUGGUAUCAUCCUAAAAGCAUCGGGCAGUAUUAUGACUUGUUGAACUCUGGCAUUUUUAGUGACUGCACAGUUAAAGUGGUUGUGGGGAACACAAGUGCUGGUGUAAAGGGAUAUAAGGAUCGGGAUCUAUAUAACAAAUAUAUUGACAUAGGUGGCAUUCCUGAACUUUCAGUUAUUUGGGAGAAAGAUAGUGGCAUUGAAAUUGGGGCAGCUACACCAAUUUCUAAAACUAUCGACAUACUCGAGCAAGAAGCCGGAUCUAUAUUAUGUCCAAAUGGAAGUGUGGUUUUCAGAAAACUUGCCGAGCACAUGAGCAAGGUGGCCACACCAUUUGUCCGCAACACAGCAAGCCUUGGUGGGAACAUAAUUCUAGCACAGAAAUACCCGUUUCCUUCGGACAUCGCGACCAUACUUCUUGGUGCUGCUUCAACUGUUCGUCUUCAGGUUUAUUCAGAAACACUAGAAGUAACUUUUGAAGAGUUUCUGGAGAAGCCUCCUCUUGAUCCCAGUACAUUGCUCCUGAGCGUAUUUAUUCCAAAUUGGGCUUCAGAUUCUCAAAAAGAAAGUAAUGUGAUCUUAGAAACUUACCGAGCGGCACCGCGCCCUCUUGGCAAUGCUGUUUCAUAUAUUAACUCUGCUAUGCUGGGCCAUGUCUCCCUGAAUGAACCAUCUGGUGAUCUUGUGUUGAGUAACCUACACAUGGCCUUUGGUGCCUAUGGGACAGAACAUGCUAUUAGAGCAACAAAAGUUGAACAACACCUAACCGGAAAAGUACUCACUCCAUCUGUUGUGCUUGAAGCAGUUCAGCUCCUUAGAGAAACAAUUGUACCAAUGGAAGGAACAUCACAUCCUGAAUACAGAGUCAGUGUGGCUGUUGGAUUUCUCUUCAGUUACUUGUCUCCAUUUGCUAAAGGAAUCAAAGGGCCUGGAAAAACUCUGAAUAUUAGUUCUGCUGGUUCUUUAGAUACAGAUGAUAUUUGUAACCUUCCGUUGUCUUCACGUCGAGAAACAAUUUCCAUUGAUGAAUAUAAACCAGUUGGUGAGCCGAUUAAGAAAUAUGCAGUUGAGCUUCAAGCAUCCGGGGAGGCAGUAUAUGUAGAUGAUAUUCCUGCUCCAAAAAAUUGCCUUUACGGAGAGUUUAUUUACAGCACACAAUCUCUUGCACAUGUCAAGAAUAUCAAGUUCAAGGCUUCUUUAGCAUCAGAGAAGAUCCUCACCUUUGUUUCUGCAAAUGACAUUCCAAGUGGAGGGCAAAAUAUUGGAUCAAGCUUGAUGUUUGGGGACGAACCACUUUUUGGUGCUCCAGUUGUUGAGUACGCUGGACAAGCUCUUGGUGUCGUGAUUGCAGAAACUCAGAGAUACGCCAACUUGGCAGGAAAACAGGUUGUUGUUGAAUAUGACACAAAAGAUUUGAAGCCACCAAUCUUAACUGUAGAACAAGCUGUACAAAACAACAGCUACUUCGAAGUUCCUCCUAAGAUGUAUCCAAAACAAGUCGGAGAUUUUUGCAAGGGCAUGGCAGAAGCUGAUCACAAGAUCCUCUCAACAGAAGUGAAACUUGCCUCUCAAUACUACUUCUACAUGGAAACACAAACGACUCUAGCAAUUCCAGAUGAAGAUAACACCAUGGUGGUCUACAUUUCAUCACAAUACCCUGAGGUUGCACAGAGUUCAAUAGCCAAGUGUCUCGGCAUUCCGUUCAGCAGCGUGCGUGUCAUUACAAGAAGGGUUGGAGGAGGCUUUGGUGGGAAGGCAUUCAGAUCAUGCAAUGUAGCAACGGCAGCUGCACUCUGUGCAUUCAAGUUACGUCGUCCUGUGCGGAUGUAUCUCAACCGCAGUACUGACAUGAUCAUGAUAGGGGUCGGCACCCCAUAA